GAUGAACGCUGGCGGCGUGCCUAACACAUGCAAGUCGAGCGAGAAACUUCUGAUAGAUCCUUCGGGUGAAAGAAGAAGCGGACAGCGGCGGACGGGUGAGUAACGCGUGGGAAACCUGCCCUAUACAAGGGGAUAGCCUCGGGAAACCGGGAUUAAUACCCUAUAAAACUCUAGCACCGCAUGGUGGAUGAGUCAAAACUCCGGUGGUAUAGGAUGGUCCCGCGUCCCAUUAGCUAGUUGGUGAGGUAGAAGCUCACCAAGGCGACGAUGGGUAGCCGGCCUGAGAGGGUGAACGGCCACACUGGAACUGAGACACGGUCCAGACUCCUACGGGAGGCAGCAGUGGGGAAUAUUGCGCAAUGGGGGAAACCCUGACGCAGCAACGCCGCGUGGAGGAUGAAGGUUUUCGGAUUGUAAACUCCUUUGAUCGGGGACGAAAAAAAUGACGGUACCCGAAAAACAAGCCACGGCUAACUACGUGCCAGCAGCCGCGGUAACAC
rnacentral:rRNA from 1 species